rnacentral:rRNA from 1 species
GGAGACCACCGCUAUUGGGAUCCGAUUAAGCCAUGUGAGUCGAUUGCCGUAAGGCAAGGCGGACUGCUCAGUAACACGUGGAGAACCUGCCCUCGGGAGGGAGAUAAUCUCGGGAAACUGAGAAUAAUACCCCAUGGGUUAUGGAUGCUGGAAUGCUCCGUAACCGAAAGCUCCGGCGCCCGAGGAUGGCUCUGCGGCCUAUCAGGUAGUAGUCGGGGUAACGACCCGACUAGCCUACGACGGGUACGGGGUGUGAGAGCACUAGCCCGGAGAUGAACUCUGAGACACGAGUUCAGACCCUACGGGGUGCAGCAGGCGCGAAACCUCCGCAAUGCUCGAAAGAGCGACGGGGGGAUCUCAAGUGCCCACGCUUUGCGCGGGCUGUUUCCAUAUCUAAAAAAUAUGGAGAGUAAGAGCUGGGUAAGACGGGUGCCAGCCGCCGCGGUAAUACCUGCGGCUCUAGUGGUGGCCGCUAUUAUUGGGCCUAAAGCGUUCGUAGCCGGUCGGGUAAAUGCUUGGGUAAAUCGCGUGGCUCAACCAUGCGAAUUCCUAGUAGACUGCUCGACUAGGGACCGGGAGAAGUUGGAAGAAUUCCAGGGGUAGGGGUGAAAUCCCGUAAUCCUUGGAGGACUACCGGUAGCGAAGGCGUCCAACUAGAACGGGUCCGACGGUGAGGGACGAAGCCCUGGGGAGCGAACCGGAUUAGAUACCCGGGUAGUCCAGGGUGUAAACGAUGUGGGCUUCGCAUUGGAGGUCCCAAUGAGGGCGUCCAGUGCGGGAACGAAGGCGUUAAGCCCACCGCCUGGGAAGUACGGUCGCAAGGCUGAAACUUAA